UCAGAAUCUUGAAGACAGCGCGGUCCUUUGUUGGAUGAGAGACACACCUGGCUACCGCGCGAGUCUGAUGGACACUUUUAACGUGAAGGAACCAUCUUAUUUGAGGCAAUGGUUCUGGGCACUUUGGUGGAGCACUCACUGCCAUUCACAAUGGCCCGUCAUCGUCAACCUUGCGCAGACGCCGGCUGAGGACAAAGUGGCUCUGUCGCAAGAAGCUUUCACGAACAUCAGCAAAAUAUAUUUUUUUCAUUUCUGUCUGUCUCUUGUUGUUUUUUAUUUCAGUGUCAUGCUUCACAACACCUCCAGGCGUUUCCGUGAGUUGUAAAUAAAAACAUUUGUAAAAUAUUAAA